GCCCCGGUAGCUCAAUGGACAGAGCGUCUGGCUUCGGACCAGAAGGUUGGGGGUUCGACUCCCUUCCGGGGCGCCA
rnacentral:tRNA from 2 species